rnacentral:rRNA from 1 species
CCUACGGGGAGCAGCAGUAGGGAAUUUUCGUCAAUGGGCGCAAGCCUGAACGAGCAAUGCCGCGUGAACGAGGAAGGUCUUCGGAUCGUAAAGUUCUGUUGAAGGGGAAAAAGAGCGGAGAGAGGAAAUGCUUUCUGAUUGAUAUUACCCUUCGAGGAAGUCACGGCUAACUACGUGCCAGCAGCCGCGGUAAUACGUAGGUGGCGAGCGUUAUCCGGAAUGAUUGGGUGUAAAGGGUGCGUAGGCGGGCUGUUAAGUCAGCGGUAAAAGCCCGGGGCUCAACCCCGGCGAGCCGUUGAAACUGGCUGUAUUGAGAUGUCGAGAGGUAUGCGGAAUGCGCAGUGUAGCGGUGAAAUGCUUAGAUAUUGCGCAGAACUCCGAUUGCGAAGGCAGCAUACCGGCGGCGAUCUGACGCUGAGGCACGAAAGCGUGGGUAUCGAACAGGAUUAGAUACCCGGGUAGUC